CCACACAAUUGCUUUGCAAUCUAUUGGUCACAUCAUUGGCACUCAAAGGGUUCAUAUCUCUAAAGGCAAGGAUAUGAAAGCAACAGAACGUAAUUUCCUUGGAAUAGCGGGUAUCAGAGGCUAUCAAUCUAUAAUAAUGCUGUGAUUUAUAAUUUAUAUUAAUCCUGUGAUGUAUAGGUUAACAUUAAAGUGACAAUUUAG